AGUGAACGCUGGCGGUAGGCCUAACACAUGCAAGUCGAACGGCAGCACAGUAAGAGCUUGCUCUUACGGGUGGCGAGUGGCGGACGGGUGAGGAAUACAUCGGAAUCUACUUUUUCGUGGGGGAUAAAGUAGGGAAAAUUACGGUAAUACCGCAUACGACCUACGGGUGAAAGCAGGGGAUCUUCGGAACUUGCGCGAUUGAAUGAGCCGAUGUCGGAUUAGCUAGUUGGCGGGGUAAAGGCCCACCAAGGCGACGAUCCGUAGCUGGUCUGAGAGGAUGAUCAGCCACACUGGAACUGAGACACGGUCCAGACUCCUACGGGAGGCAGCAGUGGGGAAUAUUGGACAAUGGGCGCAAGCCUGAUCCAGCCAUACCGCGUGGGUGAAGAAGGCCUUCGGGUUGUAAAGCCCUUUUGUUGGGAAAGAAAAGCAGCAGGUUAAUACCCCGCUGUUCUGACGGUACCCAAAGAAUAAGCACCGGCUAACUUCGUG
rnacentral:rRNA from 1 species